ensembl:snRNA U2 U2 spliceosomal RNA
AUCGCUUCUCGGCCUUUUGGCUAAGAUCAAGUGUGGUAUCUGUUCUUAUCAGUUUAAUAUCUGAUACGUCCUUUGGGGCAGUCCUGGGCUGGAGGUUGGGGAUCUGGCCCUGCGACCGCCGGUUCGAUCCCCAGGGCUGA